rnacentral:rRNA from 1 species
UACGUAGGGUCCGAGCGUUAAUCGGAAUUACUGGGCGUAAAGCGUGCGCAGGCGGUCUUGUAAGCCAGAUGUGAAAGCCCCGGGCUCAACCUGGGAACUGCAUUUGGGACUGCAAGGCUGGAGUACGGCAGAGGGGGAUGGAAUUCCGCGUGUAGCAGUGAAAUGCGUAGAUAUGCGGAGGAACACCGAUGGCGAAGGCAAUCCCCUGGACCUGUACUGACGCUCAUGCACGAAAGCGUGGGGAGCAAACAGG